CACUGUAUAGCUACUCCAGCAUUAACCUUUUAAGUUA
rnacentral:tRNA from 1 species